CACUAAAUGUCUGAUAAAAAGAAUUAAUUUUUUAAAUUAAGAUAUAAUAACAUAAGUUAUUUUUAGUGA
rnacentral:tRNA from 1 species